UGUUACAAACCUGGUGGCCAAAUGAUUC
rnacentral:piRNA from 1 species